AAGAAUAGGUUAUGGGUUGUCAAGACUAUCAAAGCAAUCAGAGCUCUUAAAGUUGAUGACAAGGAAAUUUCCGAGAUGUUGUUGGUGUUUUGAAGGAAGGAAGAACACCAACAUAAAAAAAAUUUCAACAACUACUAAUGGUUGUUUGGGCUUUACCGAGUCAAGCUAAUGACGUUAAAGAAGCGCUUGCUGGGAGGCAACCCAGUUUCUAACCUAGUUUCUGAAUUUUUUUUCUUUUAUUUGAUUUGAUUUGAUUUUAUUUUAUUUUAUUUUUUAGGUUAUAUUCUGUUUCUGAUGGCAGUGAUGAUUGCAUCUACUGAUGGAUGCUUUUACAACAUUUACUGAUGGAUGUUGCUAUGAAAGAGGACGUAAUUAGACAUAUACUGAGGGAUGUCACUGUCAACAUUUACUGAUGAAUGCUACUAGGAUAACAUCUACUGAGGGAUGCUAGAAGAUUGAGUAUCUACUGAAGGAUACCGGGAAGGUACACCUACUGAUGGGUAAUGGUAAGGUUUGCACCUACUGAUGGGUGUUAG
rnacentral:lncRNA from 1 species